AACGUACCCUUCACUACGGAAUAGUCCCGGGAAACUGGGUUUAAUACCGUAUACGCCCUUCGGGGGAAAGAAUUUCGGUGAGGGAUCGGCCCGCGUUAGAUUAGUUAGUUGGUGGGGUAAUGGCCUACCAAGACUACGAUCUAUAGCUGGUUUGAGAGGAUGAUCAGCAACACUGGGACUGAGACACGGCCCAGACUCCUACGGGAGGCAGCAGUGGGGAAUCUUAGACAAUGGGGGCAACCCUGAUCUAGCGAUGCCGCGUGAGUGAUGAAGGCCUUAGGGUCGUAAAGCUCUUUCGCCUGUGAUGAUAAUGACAGUAGCAGGUAAAGAAACCCCGGCUAACUCCGUGCCAGCAGCCGCGGUAAUACGGAGGGGGUUAGCGUUGUUCGGAAUUACUGGGCGUAAAGCGCACGUAGGCGGAUUAGUCAGUCAGAGGUGAAAUCCCAGGGCUCAACCCUGGAACUGCCUUUGAUACUGCUAGUCUUGAGUUCGAGAGAGGUAAGUGGAAUUCCGAGUGUAGAGGUGAAAUUCGUAGAUAUUCGGAGGAACACCAGUGGCGAAGGCGGCUUACUGGCUCGAUACUGACGCUGAGGUGCGAAAGUGUGGGGAGC
rnacentral:rRNA from 1 species